CUGACAUCCCGACCGGUGUGACACUGAUGCCUUUGGGCAGAAAUCAGAGCCGGUUUGCUCCAUGUCUCUGUGUAACCACGAUGCCUGUAGCACCUCUGAGAGCCCCCAGUGCCCUGGUGGGGAAAUGGAGCAAGCACGUGAGCCCCAAAUGAACUGCCAGAAGAAAGGAGGGAUUAGCCACAGUGAGCCUGCUCCCCGUGUUCAGAGAACUUCCAGACCACACAGGCAGGAGGUGGGAUAAUGUAUACCCAGAGGAAACCAAGACAUGGAGAAGAUAGCAGUUCCUUGGUUUCAGCUAAUUACCACAUUCCCUUGAAGGAGGAGAGAUGCCUCUCCCAAGUUUCUCUGCUAGCACUGUGAGAGAACUGAUCUCUGAGCUGCUCAGUGGUUACUGACAUCAUU